rnacentral:rRNA from 1 species
UACGAAGGGGGCUAGCGUUGCUCGGAAUCACUGGGCGUAAAGCGCACGUAGGCGGAUUGCUAAGUCAGGGGUGAAAUCCUGGAGCUCAACUCCAGAACUGCCUUUGAUACUGAGGAUCUUGAGUGCGGGAGAGGUGAGUGGAACUGCGAGUGUAGAGGUGAAAUUCGUAGAUAUUCGCAAGAACACCAGUGGCGAAGGCGGCUCACUGGCCCGUAACUGACGCUGAGGCACGAAAGCGUGGGGAGCAAACAGG